AAGGCGCUGGCCUCUCUGAUGAUGCUCAUCUCAUGGAAGAUUUGGACCGAACGCAAUGCUAGAGUCUUUCGUAACACGGUCGUCCCUUCGAUUGUUCUCAUUUCCAGGAUUAAAGACGAGGUGUCUCUUUGGGCUUUGGCCGGUGCGAAGCCGUUGGGUAUUGUAAUGCCGCGAGAGUAG
rnacentral:rRNA from 1 species